GAUGAAGAACGUAGCGAAAUGCGAUACCUGGUGUGAAUUGCAGAAUCCCGCGAACCAUCGAGUCUUUGAACGCAAGUUGCGCCCGAGGCCACCCGGCCGAGGGCACGCCUGCCUGGGCGUCACGCCAAAACACGCUCCCACCCCCCCUCACCGGGGGAGCGGGACGCGGCGUCUGGCCCCCCGUGCCGCGAGGCGCGGUGGGCCGAAGAUCGGGCUGCCGGCGUACCGUGCCGGGCACAGCGCGUGGUGGAUCUCUACUCGGCGCAGUGCACCCGGCGCGUAGCCGGCGCAGCGGCCCCUAAGGACCCAACGAACGGAGCGCGAGCCGCUCCGACCGCGACCCCAGGUCAGGCGGGACUACCCGCUGAGUUUAAGCAUAUCAAUAAGCGGGGA
rnacentral:misc_RNA from 1 species